rnacentral:rRNA from 1 species
GAGGUUAAGCGACUAAGCGUACACGGUGGAUGCCCUGGCAGUCAGAGGCGAUGAAGGGCGUGCUAAUCUGCGAUAAGCGCCGGUAAGGUGAUAUGAACCGCAACAACCGGCGAUACCCGAAUGGGGAAACCCAGUGUGACUCGUCACACUAUCAUGCAGUGAAUACAUAGCUGUAUGAGGCGAACCGGGGGAACUGAAACAUCUAAGUACCCCGAGGAAAAGAAAUCAACCGAGAUUCCCCCAGUAGCGGCGAGCGAACGGGGAGGAGCCCAGAACCAUCAUCAGCUUGUGCAUCAGUGGAAGCGUCUGGAAAGUCGCAGGGUACAGGGUGAUACUCCCGUACACAAAGGUGCA